AUUCCACAGGUCACUCACAAAUAAAACGGCGCUCUGACUCAGCACCGAAGUAGCAGCCAACAUAAACCACGCCAGCGAAAACGUGAUUAUUGGAAAUAAUAAAUAACCACAAAAUCUAGAUUUCUAGAGCGCAGAAAUAUCAUUCGGUGAAGUGGAACUGAUGAUGGAGACCACAAAUAGCCACCGGAACACCAUCAAACUGAUCGAUCGAUUGGUCGUGAUCGACUGAAGUCGGAAAUAAGGAUUGCAUUCUAGCGUCAUUUUCACGUUUCCAACCACAAUGUAGGCUGUUAGUGAAUUAAUCGAGUGAAAGCUUCGGUGGCGCAAAGGAUAGUGCCGUUGCCUUUCAUCCGGGAUGCGCCAGUUUGAUCCACGCUUUCACACGCACGAUUUCAUAAUUUAACGUAAUUCCAGAAAAACGUUCCAAACCACAAUCAUGUCGAAAUUGAGUUACGAUUUAAGAACACAAAAUUGGUCACGUGUUUCAUACUAACAGACUGACAAAAAAUGGCAGCCUUACUGUCACUCUUGAAAUGACAUCGUGACUUAGUAGCCCAACCCACUUGCAUGGAAUACACUAAUAUUUAUUAAACUUUAAACACGAAUUUCAGGAACUACGUCCAAUUAUAAGUUUUCUUAUGUGUAAAACUUAUUUAUUUUAUAUAAAACAUUGUUGUGCCCUGCAAGGCGUCACAUAUCCAAUGUACUACUCUUUUGUAAAAAUGUG